GGAGUAAGCUGGACAGCCGCGUCCCCUUGGGAUGAGGAAAGUCCGGGCUUCGCAGAGCAAGGGCGCCGGUUAACGGCCGGUAGAGGCGACUCUAAGGAUAGUGCAACAGAAAUAAACCGCCUGCAUCCGCAGGUAAGGGUGGAAAGGUGGGGCAAGAGCCCACCGUCCUGCCGGUAACGGCGGGAGCCAUGUAAACCCCGCCCGAAGCAAGGCUGACAGGAACGCAUGGGGCUGCUCGUCCCGUUCCGAAAAGGCCGCAUGAUGCUGUUGGCGACAACAGACCAAGACAGAUGGCUGUCCACGACAGAACCCGGCUUACAGGCUUGCUCCCAUA
rnacentral:RNase_P_RNA from 1 species